GAUGAACGCUGGCGGCGUGCCUAAUACAUGCAAGUCGAGCGAACAGACGAGGAGCUUGCUCCUCUGACGUUAGCGGCGGACGGGUGAGUAACACGUGGAUAACCUACCUAUAAGACUGGGAUAACUUCGGGAAACCGGAGCUAAUACCGGAUAAUAUAUUGAACCGCAUGGUUCAAUAGUGAAAGACGGUUUUGCUGUCACUUAUAGAUGGAUCCGCGCCGCAUUAGCUAGUUGGUAAGGUAACGGCUUACCAAGGCAACGAUGCGUAGCCGACCUGAGAGGGUGAUCGGCCACACUGGAACUGAGACACGGUCCAGACUCCUACGGGAGGCAGCAGUAGGGAAUCUUCCGCAAUGGGCGAAAGCUUGACGGAGCAACGCCGCGUGAGUGAUGAAGGUCUUCGGAUCGUAAAACUCUGUUAUUAGGGAAGAACAAAUGUGUAAGUAACGAUGCACGUCUUGACGGUACCUAAUCAGAAAACCACGGCUAACUACGU
rnacentral:rRNA from 1 species